rnacentral:rRNA from 1 species
AUGAACGCUGGCGACGUGGAUAAGGCAUGCAAGUCGAGGGCUCCGACCUUGUGUCGGAGACCGGCAGACGAGGUAGUAAUACGCAGGUACGCCCCCCAAAGUUGGGCAUAGCUCGCCGAAAGGCGGGGUAAUUCCCAAUGGUCUCCGCCUUUGGCGGAGUAAAGAUUUAUCGCUUUGGGAGCGGCCUGUGCAGUAUCAGCUUGUUGGUAGGGUAACGGCCUACCAAGGCUAUGACGCUUAGGGGAGGUGAGAGCCUGGCCCCCACCGAUGGCACUGAGAUACGGGCCAUACACCUACGGGUGGCCGCAGUCGAGAAUCUUCCACAAUGGGCGAAAGCCUGAUGGAGCGACGUCGCGUGAUUGAUGAAGUCCUUCGGGACGUAAAGAUCUUUUAUGAGGGAGAAAGUUAUUGAUAGUACCUCAUGAAUAAGGGGUUGCUAAACUCGU